rnacentral:pre_miRNA from 1 species
AGGAGAGGCUGGAUCCUGGGCUGUGUCCCUGCGCCCUGUGCUCCCGGUCUGCCCUGUUGGGAUCGCGCUCCCGGCCGCGCAGCCGCCU